rnacentral:misc_RNA from 1 species
UUUCCGUAGGUGAACCUGCGGAAGGAUCAUUCAUAAUAAGUGUUUUAUGGCACUUUUUUAAAUCCAUAUCCACCUUGUGUGCAAUGUCAGGGUUGAUUUUUCUCUCGAGAGGAUCAACCCCAAACAUCAACUAUAUCUCAACUCUUUGUCUGAAAAAUAUUAUGAAUAAAACAAUUCAAAAUACAACUUUCAACAACGGAUCUCUUGGCUCAC